rnacentral:rRNA from 1 species
AAAUUGAAGAGUUUGAUCAUGGCUCAGAUUGAACGCUGGCGGCAGGCCUAACACAUGCAAGUCGAGCGGUAGCACAGAGAGCUUGCUCUCGGGUGACGAGCGGCGGACGGGUGAGUAAUGUCUGGGAAACUGCCUGAUGGAGGGGGAUAACUACUGGAAACGGUAGCUAAUACCGCAUAACGUCGCAAGACCAAAGUGGGGGACCUUCGGGCCUCAUGCCAUCAGAUGUGCCCAGAUGGGAUUAGCUGGUAGGUGGGGUAACGGCUCACCUAGGCGACGAUCCCUAGCUGGUCUGAGAGGAUGACCAGCCACACUGGAACUGAGACACGGUCCAGACUCCUACGGGAGGCAGCAGUGGGGAAUAUUGCACAAUGGGCGCAAGCCUGAUGCAGCCAUGCCGCGUGUGUGAAGAAGGCCUUCGGGUUGUAAAGCACUUUCAGCGGGGAGGAAGGCGAUAAGGUUAAUAACCUUGCCGAUUGACGUUACCCGCAGAAGAAGCACCGGCUAACUCCGUGCCAGCAGCCGCGGUAAUACGGAGGGUGCAAGCGUUAAUCGGAAUUACUGGGCGUAAAGCGCACGCAGGCGGUCUGUCAAGUCGGAUGUGAAAUCCCCGGGCUCAACCUGGGAACUGCAUUCGAAACUGGCAGGCUAGAGUCUUGUAGAGGGGGGUAGAAUUCCAGGUGUAGCGGUGAAAUGCGUAGAGAUCUGGAGGAAUACCGGUGGCGAAGGCGGCCCCCUGGACAAAGACUGACGCUCAGGUGCGAAAGCGUGGGGAGCAAACAGGAUUAGAUACCCUGGUAGUCCACGCUGUAAACGAUGUCGAUUUGGAGGUUGUGCCCUUGAGGCGUGGCUUCCGGAGCUAACGCGUUAAAUCGACCGCCUGGGGAGUACGGCCGCAAGGUUAAAACUCAAAUGAAUUGACGGGGGCCCGCACAAGCGGUGGAGCAUGUGGUUUAAUUCGAUGCAACGCGAAGAACCUUACCUGGUCUUGACAUCCACAGAACUUUCCAGAGAUGGAUUGGUGCCUUCGGGAACUGUGAGACAGGUGCUGCAUGGCUGUCGUCAGCUCGUGUUGUGAAAUGUUGGGUUAAGUCCCGCAACGAGCGCAACCCUUAUCCUUUGUUGCCAGCGGUCCGGCCGGGAACUCAAAGGAGACUGCCAGUGAUAAACUGGAGGAAGGUGGGGAUGACGUCAAGUCAUCAUGGCCCUUACGACCAGGGCUACACACGUGCUACAAUGGCAUAUACAAAGAGAAGCGACCUCGCGAGAGCAAGCGGACCUCAUAAAGUAUGUCGUAGUCCGGAUUGGAGUCUGCAACUCGACUCCAUGAAGUCGGAAUCGCUAGUAAUCGUAGAUCAGAAUGCUACGGUGAAUACGUUCCCGGGCCUUGUACACACCGCCCGUCACACCAUGGGAGUGGGUUGCAAAAGAAGUAGGUAGCUUAACCUUCGGGAGGGCGCUUACCACUUUGUGAUUCAUGACUGGGGUGAAGUCGUAACAAGGUAACCGUAGGGGAACCUGCGGUUGGAUCACCUCCUUACCUUAAAGAA